AACUCCUGGAGCUAAAGUCAACCUCCCACCUCAGUGUCUUGGGUAGCUGGGAUUAUAGGCAUGCACCAGUGUGCAUUGGUUUGAAUCUUUUUAUUAAUGACAUUAAUGGACUCAGCAAAAUCACAGUGGAUCUGGGGUGUUAGUCAGGAAUCUAGAGUGUUAGUGAGGAAUCCAAUUUCCAACUGCCAGCAGUUCUAUUCUAGCAACUUCUAAAUGUCUGUUUCCAAGUCUCUAUCUCUGUGGAAAUCAGACCAGCUCUGAAUGCAGAAGAAACAGGAUAUUUCGAUUUAUGAGGCACAUCUGAAAGUCCAAGAACCUGGGAUCGAAGGCUAUGACUACCCACUGAAACCAUUCUCUGUUUAACAGUCAUUUAAUACAAAUCUUUCAGUCCAGAAAAUACAAUGAGAAGACCACACUGGAUAUUAAACCCCAAGUUUACAGAAAGACAAAGCUUUAUUCCAGAAAGGAAUGCACUCAACUAAGUACUACAUUUCCUGCCUUCCCUUGUAACCAGGUAUGGCCAUAUUAAUGAGGCACAGCCAAUGAGAUGUCAGCAAGAGUGUCAUGUGGGACCUCUGAGAGAAAAUGCUCUAAAGAGAGCUGACUCAGCCAGAAAAUUAACUCUUCUGGCCUUUCUGAUCAUUUUUUCCUUUUGGACAUAGUGACAGCCAUUUUGGACCACGAAGUCACCUUGAGAAACAAAGUCUCAUUCCAGGAUAGUGAAGAAGGAAAAUGUAAAAGAAAUCUAAGGUCCUAAUUCCACCUGAGAAUACCUAUCUGUGGGACUGCUUUACUGUAUGAAAGAAUAAAUUGGUCUGUGUUUUAAACCAUAGAAGCUCUCUUCAGCUUAAACCAAUCACUGGAAUGGGGAAUAGGAUUAACUCUCUGAAAGAAAUUAUUAUUUAGACAUUGGGGC